rnacentral:sRNA from 1 species
UGUUCCUCAUGUCUGAGGGUCGUGACCAC